GACGAACGCUGGCGGCGUGCUUAACACAUGCAAGUCGAACGGAAAGGCCUGCUUUCCCUUGUGGAUUGCGGGUACUCGAGUGGCGAACGGGUGAGUAACACGUGAGUGAUCUGCCCCCAACUUGGGUAUAAGCCUGGGAAACUGGGUCUAAUUCCCGAUAGGACUGCAGGGUGGUGCCUGUGGUGGAAAACGAUUUUCUAGUGGUUGGGGAUGAGCUCGCGGCCUAUCAGCUUGUUGGUGGGGUAAUGGCCUACCAAGGCGGCGACGGGUAGCCGGCCUGAGAGGGUGGACGGCCACAUUGGGACUGAGAUACGGCCCAGACUCCUACGGGAGGCAGCAGUGGGGAAUAUUGCACAAUGGGCGGAAGCCUGACGCAGCGACGCCGCGUGGGGGAUGACGGCCUUCGGGUUGUAAACUCCUUUCGACCGCGAGGAAGCCACCUGGUUGGAAGGGUGGUGACGGUAGUGGUAGAAGAAGCACCGGCUAACUACGUG
rnacentral:rRNA from 1 species